rnacentral:rRNA from 1 species
UGGAGAGUUUGAUCCUGGCUCAGAUUGAACGCUGGCGGCAGGCCUAACACAUGCAAGUCGAACGGUAACAGAGAGCAGCUUGCUGCUCUGCUGACGAGUGGCGGACGGGUGAGUAAUGUCUGGGAAACUGCCUGAUGGAGGGGGAUAACUACUGGAAACGGUAGCUAAUACCGCAUAAYGUCUUCGGACCAAAGUGGGGGACCUUCGGGCCUCAUGCCAUCAGAUGUGCCCAGAUGGGAUUAGCUAGUAGGUGGGGUAAAGGCUCACCUAGGCGACGAUCCCUAGCUGGUCUGAGAGGAUGACCAGCCACACUGGAACUGAGACACGGUCCAGACUCCUACGGGAGGCAGCAGUGGGGAAUAUUGCACAAUGGGCGCAAGCCUGAUGCAGCCAUGCCGCGUGUAUGAAGAAGGCCUUCGGGUUGUAAAGUACUUUCAGCGAGGAGGAAGGGAUUGUGGUUAAUAACCGCAGUCAUUGACGUUACUCGCAGAAGAAGCACCGGCUAACUCCGUGCCAGCAGCCGCGGUA